CUACCUUUAAGAACCUGUUUGGAGAAAUGCUAUGACUUUGGUCACCCAGAGUCACUGCAGUCCUAUAGUAUUGGGUUAUAGCAUCCUGUUGCCAGCAGCUUCUGGUCUCUUCUUGAUGACCUCCCAUCACAGAAGCAUUCUUCCCUUGGGAGCUGAGGUCUAGACUCUGCAUGUGAGGGAAAGGUUUAAUAGGUGUCUUUCUGCUCCCGACUUAACCCAACAUGCAGCUUCAUGCAUGUAAGUGACAUGAUUUCCUUCAUACUAAUGGUUGGAUUGCACUGCAUUGCAUAUAUAACCAAGUUUAUUUUAUCCAUGUGUCCUCUGGUGAACACAGGCUGAUUCCAUAACUUGGCUAUUGUGAAGAGUUCUACAAUAAACAUUUAUGCGCAGGAAAACCAGAACAGGAGGACGUCACCCAGCCAGCGGUGUAAGAUCUGAGCCAGGUACAGGAGUGCAUCCCAGCGCAGAAGGGGAACACACAGUUUGACUCUCAGUGAGUCCAGCUGAGUUCACCAGCGUUACUGUACAGCUCACAGCCACCUGCCGAAUGCUCCCUUCUGUGAAACACCAACCAACCCAGGCCAGGCAGAAAAAAAACUGAGGGUUUCCUUUAAGAAAUAUGGCUUAACUUCAUCCAGCAGCUGGUGGAAGUAAAAGCCGACACCCACAACUAUUCACCGAACUGAACUGGAAUCCAGUUGCAGAGAAGGACGAGUGAAAAGCAAAGGGGUCCAGACCAGGCUGGUGAAACCCACAGAAACAGCUGACUUGAACAUCAGGGAACUCUUGCUCCCCAGACUGAUAGCUGGGAUACCAGCAUGAGACUGAUCCAGCCCCCAGGAACAUGGGUUUCUGUGAGGAAACCUUGGAAAUCUAUGGGAUCUCCUGUAGUUGUUCAGUACUUAUCCCUAGCAUAGGUGUGGACUUUGGGAGCCCAUUCCACAUAGAGGGAUACUCCCUGAGCCAAGACACACGGGGUGGGCCUAGGCCCUAUCCCAAAGGAUGGGAUAGACUCUGAUGACACCCUAUGGAAGGCCUCACUAUCCCUGGGGAACAGAAAGGAUAUGUGACAGG
rnacentral:lncRNA from 1 species